rnacentral:tRNA from 1 species
ACAUUGGUGGUUCAGUGGUAGAAAUCUUGCCUUCCAUGUAGGAUGCUUGGGUUUGAUUCCCAGCCAAUGUA